UGGGGAAUUUUGGACAAUGGGGGCAACCCUGAUCUAGCAAUGCCGCGUGUGUGAAGAAGGCCUUCGGGUUGUAAAGCACUUUUGUCCGGAAAGAAAUCGCGCUGGUUAAUACCUGGCGUGGAUGACGGUACCGGAAGAAUAAGCACCGGCUAACUACGUGCCAGCAGCCGCGGUAAUACGUAGGGUGCGAGCGUUAAUCGGAAUUACUGGGCGUAAAGCGUGCGCAGGCGGUUUUGUAAGACAGGCGUGAAAUCCCCGGGCUUAACCUGGGAAUUGCGCUUGUGACUGCAAGGCUAGAGUGCGUCAGAGGGGGGUAGAAUUCCACGUGUAGCAGUGAAAUGCGUAGAGAUGUGGAGGAAUACCGAUGGUGAAGGCAGCCCCCUGGGACGUGACUGACGCUCAUGCACGAAAGCGUGGGGAGCAAACAGGAUUAGAUACCCUGGUAGUCCACGCCCUAAACGAUGUCAACUAGUUGUUGGGGAUUCAUUUUCUCAGUAACGUAGCUAACGCGUGAAGUUGACCGCCUGGGGAGUACGGUCGCAAGAUUA
rnacentral:rRNA from 1 species